CGCGGCCUAUCAGCUUGUUGGUGAGGUUAUGGCUUACCAAGGCGACGACGGGUAGCCGGCCUGAGAGGGUGUCCGGCCACACUGGGACUGAGAUACGGCCCAGACUCCUACGGGAGGCAGCAGUGGGGAAUAUUGCACAAUGGGCGCAAGCCUGAUGCAGCGACGCCGCGUGGGGGAUGACGGCCUUCGGGUUGUAAACCUCUUUCAGCUAUGACGAAGCGCAAGUGACGGUAGUAGCAGAAGAAGCACCGGCCAACUACGAGCCAGCAGCCGCGGUAAUACGUAGGGUGCGAGCGUUGUCCGGAAUUACUGGGCGUAAAGAGCUCGUAGGUGGUUUGUCGCGUUGUUCGUGAAAACCUGAGGCUUAACCUUGGGCGUGCGGGCGAUACGGGCAGACUGGAGUACUGCAGGGGAGACUGGAAUUCCUGGUGUAGCGGUGGAAUGCGCAGAUAUCAGGAGGAACACCGGUGGCGAAGGCGGGUCUCUGGGCAGUAACUGACGCUGAGGAGCGAAAGCGUGGGGAGCGAACAGGAAUAGAUACCCUGGUAGUCCACGCCGUAAACGGUGGGUACUAGGUGUGGGUUUCCUUCCUUGGGAUCCGUGCCGUAGCUAACGCAUUAAGUACCCCGCCUGGGGAGUACGG
rnacentral:rRNA from 1 species